CAAAAAAUAACAUAAAUAUUUGUAGAGUAGCUUGUUUCUUAAAUGUUCUAGAAAACACAUUCCAGAAAAAGUUAAUACAUUCUGAAAUAAUAAGUGUUUUACGAUAGAUUGAUCAUCCUGUAUAUAUACAGCAAUUUUUGGAAGAAAGUAUUUGGAAGAAAAAAAUUGUCAAAUAAAUUAUUAUGAAGUAGGAAAUCCGCUUCUUUUAAUGGAUAGCAUGAAAAAAUGACCAUUUUAACUGGUGUAAUAAGACCAAUAGACAAAUUGGUUUUUUUUUUGUAAACAUGUAAAUGGGGACCAAUAAAUUAACUGUGAGCCCAAUAAGCAGCAUCUACUGUACCUGUCUAUUUUAAUUAAACAAAUUACCAAUUUGCACUACACACCUUUAGCAUUGUUUAUUUAUUAUUUUAUAUGACUUUAUACACAACUUAGCUAAAAGUUCAAAUAGGCACAUCACAUCAUUAAUUCGAAAUCUUUAAUUAAGAUUAAUUUAUCAUAUUUAAGAUCUUUACUUUGAUAUGCAAUUGCUGUUAUCUGAAAACUUUAGCCAUUCUGUCUUUAGUAAGUAGUACAUAUACCUAUAAGUUAAACAAAAUUGAAACUAGGACUAAAUUCUGAGGAAGCACAAUAUUCACUGUCCUCCAUCUAUACGAUUAUAUUCUUUACUUAAGAACAUCAAUUUGAUAGGGUUUUGCAUUGUUAUGAUUUUAUGAGUCAUGACCAGUGCUGUAAUAAGAUACUUUAAAUUAGUAUCUGGAUACAGAUACAAGUAUCUUAAGAGUAUCAUAAGAUACAUUUUAAGAUACAAAUAAGAAAACAGAUAUUUUUUUUUAUAAAUACCUAUUUAAUUAAUUAAAAAUAUAAAAUUACAAAAUUAUAACAAAACAACGGGUGCAUAAUUUAUAAUACAAUCAUUUUUAUCAACAUUUUUAUGUCAGUUUUCAAAUAUAAUUAAUAAUAUUCUUAUAAAGUUAUAAGCUAUAACACAUAAUAUAUAACAAUAUUAAAAUAUUGGUUAAUUAUUGGUAAACAUAAAAUAAAUAAUGGGUAUUAUCCACUUGUCAAUACACAAUAUUCAUACACUCAUAUAUAAUAAUUUAUAAUAAUAAAGAAAUCAGAAAAUAAUACAUAUUAACAAUAUUUUUAUUUUAAACAUAUUAGAUUUUAGAAUUUUAUGUUUUAUUUUUAUAUUUUUUUUUUUUUUACUGUAUCUUAGAUAUAAGUAUCUAGAUAUAUUAUAGCACUGGUCAUGACACAUACACAGCUGCCUAUAACUUUCAUUCUUUUUCUCAGUAGGUGGGCAUCUAUUUCAUAAUUAUAAUUUUAAAACAACAUUAUUUUAUAGUAUUAUAUACUAAUAUACUUCUAUUCUUAUUUCAUUAUCAAGACUGGACAAAAAAACGGCCAAUUUUAUCAUCAACAUAUUGUGAUAUAAUGUUUAAUAGUCUUUUUUUUAAUACCUAUACAUAAAAAAAUUGAUCAAAACUAGAAAUCAAAAUCAAACUAAACCUCUAAUAUAUACCUAAUAUAGAAUAUCUGUAGGAAUACUUACACAAAUAAUAAUUUGUGAGCUAAAAUUGUUCAUAUUUUAUGUAUUACUACUAGGCAAAUGAUAUAAUAUGUAUGUCAUAAAAUGAAUAUUUAAAUUAUACCUAGGUACAUAUUCUAAGAACUAUGAUCUGUAGAUUGAUAAUAAAUGUAUUGAUAUUUUUUUAAUAUCUAGCUAUAGGGAAUCCAUGUAAAUUUUUGGCACAAAUAAUUAAUUAUAUUAAUAAUUAUUCAAAUAUUACAAAAACAUAAAUCAUCAAGUAGCACCUACUUAGUCAAAGUUGCAGUUGAAAACUAUACACAAGCACUUAUAAAUAAUCUUCUAUUAUUAUAAUCACCACAUUUUUCACUCAUUCUUUGGUAUCUUUUUUGAUGGUGGUUCUUGUUCUAUGACGAAUUGUUCAAUUUUCAAUCCAUUUACUCAUUAAGUUAUUCUCUUUGUAGUGCUGUUAUACAUUUCCAUAUAGAUGGAUGAACUUAUAAAUUUAACAUAAACAAAACGCAGUUAAGCCACCCUUCCAUAAGUGGCGGAUCCAGGGGAAGAGGCAAGGGCCUUGCCCCUAGACUAUAGACUAUACAAAAUGGUUGCACCCGUCAUCUGUAUCACUUUUUUUUUAUUUUAAGACAUCUACUCCAAAAUUUAACUCUGGAUCCGCCACUACCCAGUGCCAAUAAAAUACAUAGAAAAUAAAUAGGUAUAUGAUAAUAUCUAUAUGCUUUCUUGUCUGUCAAAAGACUUCACAUCCAUAUUAUAGUUAUCCUAUAAAUCUGUGAACAUAUUCGACUAAUGAGAAGAAGAGAACUAGCUUCUAUUGAUAGAACACUGAACCUAUCACUUAGUUACUGACCAUAUACUUGUAUCCAUUUUGUCAUGUUUUCCUAAAUUAUUUUACUAACUCACAUUCACAUAAUAUGCUACAUAACUUGAAAAUAUGUAAUAGUUUCCAAAAUCAAAUAUUAAUCAUAUGUAAGUAAUCAAUUUAAAUUCCACCAUUAUUUGCCAAAGAAUUUAAAAUGAUUAUUAUUUCUAGAAAUAUCUUUAUUAUUAAUAAUAAGUAUAAGUACUUUUUUUAUUCAAAUUAAUUGCUCAUAUUAUUUAAUAAUUUUAAUUCUAGUUUUGGAAUAAAGAUGUUAACAGUAAUAUAUUUUUUUGUAAUUUGUAUAAAACACUGUUACGAAAAUCGAUUUAAUAUUUAACUUAUCCUUAAGCCAAGUAUAUGUGUAUAAAGGUAUAUACAGACCAAGCAACAUUUUGUUGGCAACAUGUAUCCUGUCAAUUGGUAACAAGUCGAUGGAUAUACGUCGAUUUUGGGCAGCAUGACAUCAAAGAUAUAUAUUGCGUAUUACUUUAUCUAUCUAUGUUUUCCAUUUAGAAUGGAAAACAUCGCUCAGUGUGGACGAUAUUAUGAUCAAUUGCCUGCUGUACACACGUACACUUUUGUUGUUAUUAUUUUAUAUUAUUUAAAUGUUCGCAUUAUGUAUUCAACUAAUAAUAGUCGACGCCAUAGCUUAUAUCAUUUUUGAAACAUUUUUUCUGUAAUCAUCUUUUUUUUCUUUUUUUAACAUGAGUAGCUAUGAUGACGAACGCAGCAUUAGUACCAGCAGCAACAGUUGUCAGAUCCGAAUCUAAGAAAAAAACGACACGGUAAAACACGUCAAAUGCAUUUUACUUCAAAAUAACAAACAUUAGUUUUAAGUCAAUAAUAAUAUAAAUAAUAGUAUAC